UAGUACACUGCCAGUUCUAAAGCAAGGAAAAGUUGAAUGUUGAUAUAAAACAACCCAGGAAGAAACCCAAAGAACGUAGAAAUAUGAAAUGAAGUCUACCAACCAUUGCUUAGCUAACAUUACAAAUGUACCAAUCAAACAAAACCUUUUAGAACACACGACAGUGUAUACAUUACAUUAUCAACUUUGGGAUGUGAAGCAGACGUGAAGAAAAAACAACACAUUGUGCUUGCACACCGACUCGUCCACUCGGGUCAGCUGAUUAGUAAAACAAUGCAGGACGAAGGUUUUGAUACGUUAACACAUGGAGCCUAAGGAAGUAAAAGUCAAUUGAAAGAAAUAGUUUUAAAAAAAAGCUGAUGUUGAAUGAAAUUACAUCGACGAUUUUGAAUUAAUCCUGUGAUGUGAAUGUAUGGAA
rnacentral:sRNA from 1 species